UGUGAUUCUGAAACCACCUUCCUAACCUCUCUUCCUCUUUUCCUUUUGUUCUGACUCCUAUAAACCUAAUGAAUAAUGCCAGAUCUCAGGAGCCCAUGAUUACGACCAUGGCAGGACCUCUUCCUUCUGAUGCCAGUCUUGCUGGUGCCAUCUAGCUGUGCAGGAAAUGCUUGCAAAACUAAGGAAAUCUGGGAUGGGAAGUUCUUGCCAGGAGUCUCCCCUCCAAUGUGGGGACCUGGCUGGCAGCCCAAGUGGGCCAGAAAGGUGUUUGUUGGUCUGACCCAGAAGGAGACCCCUUCCAGAGGAGCAGGGUAAGAAUCAGACGGGCCAGAAGGAACUACUCAGUCCAAGUUUGCUUCAUUUUCUUCAUUCUGCUAGUUUGAUUUUUGUGUCCAACUCCUCAAGCAAAAGGAACAUCAGACACAAGGGGGAACUCCAGUAAACAAGCAAACAUUUUCCCAAACACGUGCAGAAUUGCAACCCUUUCAAAACAAUGAUGGCUAUUAAACGCAUGAUCUACAAUGUAUAUUGGUUUUACUGGCAAUUUCAGCUGGUCACAAUGACUUAUCUCAUGGAUCCCUUUGAAUGGUGGGUCUUCCACAGUUUUCUCCUUGUUACCUUUAUGGUGUCAGCAUAUGUCUUUUAUGCUGUUGUUCCUCUGAUCUACCUUGUUUUGGAGCAUGUCCGUCAUCUAUUUGGCUUACAAUCAGAAUCAACCAUUCCAACUAUUAUGUGAACUUGCCAUCCAUAAUAUUGACUGUUUUCUUCCUGCCUGCUAUGUUGUUUGAUAUUUUUAAAAAGACAUAUGCUUAAAACCUAUGGAGACAUUCUGAGAUUUAUAAAAACAAAUGAAAUUUCUUUAGUCCAUGAAA